rnacentral:lncRNA from 12 species
CAGCCUGUAUUUAAUGGUCAUGGCGGAUGUGAGGGGAUUUGGCGGAGGCCGAGGAGAGGCCUUUGGCUCUCAAGCCCCGUCCUCACGUCGUGUGAGUCUACCAACCCGCCACGACCCCAGAUUCUUGUGCGGGUGUCUGACUCGAAUGACAAGCGAGCUGAUUUUUUCAGUACAUAGCUGGGAAAUGUAGUGAGUGAUAAUAGAGAUUUCUCUUUCAUUUUUUACGCUUGACUUGGUUAUUGUUGCUUUUCUUUUCCCGUGAUUCCUUCUGAGGAUUAGCUCUGACUUCCCCACUAUUGGCGGUCAAAGUGGCCCCGACUCGGGAUGACAAUUGACGGGGAUCAAGGGAUUGCCCAUUCUGUGCCUGUAAGAACGGAUUCGUGCCAGAGAAACUCAUCAAGUGGAGGCGGAGAAGAAAGACCGUUCGGGGCUUGUCAAUGCGACCAUUGCUUUGAUGGGAGGCUCCUCAAGGAUCUGCAUCCAUCCUGGCUUUUGCAGUUCUCUGUCAUCACCAGAGAAUUCAAGGGCACAUGUCAUCUGGAAAGAAGACGUUUAGAGAUUUCCUACUCCAUCUUCCUCACAAAUGCCGAGGCCCAGAGAAGUAACCUGUCCAAGGUCACAGAGCUCAUAGCUGAGCUACAACCGGAGUUCAGAUCUCUCAUCCCAUCGCACCCCAAAAAACACCCAGCCUCCCAUGCAUCACCGCUCCCCUCCCAACCUGCCUCUGAGAGGGCUUCUCCGCCCUUCCACAAGGUCAGGCAACCCCAGCUCCGAGGCUUUGUCUGUAUGUUCCUGUUCUCACUGCCCUGCUCUCCUUCCUGCCACAUGAGGCCCAGCCCCAGCCUUCCCAGCCCAGCUCCAUUCUACGGACAGUUCCUGAAUAUCAGUUAAACACAAGGAAUGCUUUGCCUUUUCUAUGAAACUUUCCUCAGCCACUCUUCUUCACUGAGUCCCCUCCUCACUCAAAUUCCUCUAUCCCCAUCAUUUUUGGCCUGGAAAUCUCCUAGGCAGGCUUCACGGCCCUGCUCAGAUGACACUUCUGUGAAGCCAUCUCAGGGUGUGAAGAUCCCAGGGGAGGAAGCAGUUCUUUGAAGCCCGGUGUGUGUGUGGAACAGAGGGAGUCUGGAGAGAGGCGUGAAGGUCACAUCUCCUACAGCCUUGUGUGGGCCACGGCAGGAAUUUUGGAUUGCCCCCCAGAAGCAAUGGGAAGCCACUGAGGGGUUUGAGCAGCGAAGGUCUCUUGUCCGGAUUUGAACUUCUUGAGAAUUAAAGAAAGGUGUCCUUUUCCUCUCUGGGUCCCUAUACUCCCACCCCAGUGUCUGGCACAUAAUACUCAAGACCUGUUUGCUAAGCGCAUAAACGGACUAAGUGUGUAAACUCAUUAAAUGCAUACCACGCAGCCCUUCCUUCUCUCUUAAUUCUGGCUAACCGGUUUACAAGAGCCAGGGUGGUAGGGACCAAGUCAUGGGGUCUUCGAAUCCUCGACAGAACCGAAUUGAUACGAGUUCAGUGCUAGCGAUACAGUGCACGCCUGUCCACCGACUAAGGUGUGCAAAGGAAAGAACGGGAAAUCAGGAGGUCCGAGACUUCUCUUUGCUGGUACUAAUUGCCUUACCUUGGGAAACAUUACUUAAACCCCUCUGAGACCUUGGUUUCUUCAUCAAUAAAAUGGGAACAAUGCUACUUAUUUCA